AUUAAUCAACCAUUAACCUGCUUGCUUAUGCGCAUAAAUUCCAAAACCUCAUUCCCACCCAAACACCAAUAAUCCGAAAUCCACAAAAUUGAAGAGAAAAGAAAUUACCUUGAAUAGUAUCUUCGGGCGAAGAGAACUCUUCGAUGUCGUCUUCAACGCUCCAAAACGGCGUCGUUGGGAGCUCUCGCUUCUCCGGCAGGCCUCGCUUCAGCCGCUUGAGCGCCCGCGGCGGCUCGAUCUGCGGCUCGGGGACUUGAUUGAGAUCAGUGUCCACCGGAAGCGGAGGAGUGGAGCUGGGCGGAGGAGCUGUUUGGAGCUCCGAUUCGAACCCGAAAUCGAGUCCGAGAGAGAAAGAUGGAGGUUCGUAGUCAGAGAAGAUGGGUGUGAAAAAGAAGGAGACGGAGGAGAUGGAGGAAGGCCUUGACCGAGAGCAGAAGAAGGUUUUGUUUUGCUAAAAAUCAAAAAUACCCUCACGCUUCCGUGUUAUUUUUUAAGGCGAAGCUUCCAAUCUGGAAGCGCGCGCUUCCGCCGCGUUUCCAACCAGACAAUUUCCGGAAUCGCGCUUCCGUGCGCUUCCGCGCGCUUCUGGCGCGCUUCCGGCGCGCUUCCGCUUCCGAAGCGCGAAACGUGACCCCUGGCGCGCUUCCGUGCUUCCUAGCUCAACCACAUACCCAUUUCGACAGCAGCACUCCCUUUUCCCAACAUCACUUCAUACUUCUCUCAGCUGGCUGGCUGUUUCUGCUGUUACCUUGCUUUUGUUCUCUGCAAGUGUGUGUCUAGGGUGAAUAACUGAAUAUUGAUUGUAAUAGGGCCUUGUAUUUGGAACUCCUUUUUGUUCUUACGUUCUGUCUCUUUGAUCAAUCUCUUCUUCCACCAAAACAAGGAAAACGAAUUUAAAAGAACACAUGCUAUACUUAUAAAAAACCUCUUUUUAUUUCUCACAUUUUAGUCUAGGUAUAACAAUAACCGAAGAAUUUGCUACAUUGACUCUCUGAUAUACUUAUUUUCCUUGAAAGUAAUUAUAUAUUGAGAAAUUUUAAAUACACAUCCCUAAUCUCUUAAUACACACCUCUAUUAUUUUAUGUUUCUAUUGAGAUUUUAUAGGUAAGUUAAAUGACUAAAAUAAACAUCUAUUAUUUGAAGAAAAAAAAAUCGCGCUAGAAGUAUUCUUUUUAACAUCUUCUACCAUAAAAUUAUCGAAAACACGUCUUCUCCCCUAACCCUAACUCUUCUCCACAAUUCAUCUAGGUU
rnacentral:lncRNA from 1 species